GCCGCCAAACUUUUCCACCCAUCGUCGCUGCCCUUUUCCAUGCAUUGCGGCCGCCCUCUUCCCCCCAUCGCCGGCGCCCCAUAUGCGAUGCUCCACGCCGCCACCAGCCAUACAUCGUGUGUCAUCGUCUCUUCCCCACGGUCCCCUUCUUCACUCUCCGCCACCUCUUUCGGAUCAUUGAGAAGCUCCACAUCGCCAUGCCGGACAACGAGCGCAGUGCCCUCCUGGUAACACGUUAGAAGACCAGGAAUUUGUGCCCCUCUGAAUCAUGUCAGGGCCACAUCUUUUACUUCAACUCGAACAUCGCGCCGCCGAGUCGCCGAUCUCGCCCGCGAGCAAAUCCUAGCCAAAAUUCCAUAUCCACCCUGAGACCUGACCAGCCCGCCCGCUGAUGCAGACAGAGGCGCGGGUGGGCGGUGUGGUUGUCGACUGCCGGGGCACCGGCCGCUAGAAUCAGUAACGCCGGCACCGCCACCGUGGGCAUCUCGCUGCUGACGGGAUCGCGUGGACGUCAUCAAUUGGGGAACUUAGUGCUGGAGAGGGAAGUUCUCAUAAAGAUUUGGGAGCUGAAAAAGUACUAGACAAACUUUGGGUUUGGAGCAAACUCAUCAGGAAUUAAAGAGUUUAUAUGAGGGGCUGGCCCGUGGUGGAGGUGUGUGAGCAGCCCAUCCCCGGCCUAUGUGAUGAGCAUGUCCACGUCUCCCAACCUAUAGGCUGCCACUUCUCAACACCAACCUCCAGAAUAUCAGAUGGAUUUGCGGGCUAUGGAUCAAUGCCGCUCCAUUGGUCUAACAAAGCUGGUUCUUGUUUAGCGGUUGGCAACAUAGAAUUUUGUCGACGUACGGCUUGGGCUUGGAAAUUUUGCCAACAUAAAAUUUUGACAAUUUCGUGAUGAAGCAAGAGCGGGUGCUAAUAUAAGUGAUCAGAAGCCUGCAGCAGGUGCAAUGUGUGGUCUUUUGUUACAGUUGAUCAGUCUACGUGGCCAUCAGAUUACAGUUUUGGAGGUUUGAUAGUGUGCUUGAGCGGGGAUACCACAUUUCCUAUCUUUAAUGGAUGGGAACGUAUUGUCAAUUGGAUGUGCUCUGUGAAACUAAGACAAAGGUAUAUAAAAAAUACCAGUUAAAUGGAUGCCUAUCUGUAUAUGUUCUAUUUCUAAAGAAAAUGGUGCUAUC